rnacentral:rRNA from 1 species
AUGCGUACAAGCUUGUAUGCCGACGACGCCGUGAUCUUCAUCAACCCCACAAGGACGGAGGUAGAUGCUCUGCUCAGCAUCCUGCAUCUUUUCGGCGAGGCCAUGGGCCUGCACGUCAACCUGGCCAAAUCCUCGGAUGUGCUGAUUAGCUGCGGCGCCCUCGACCUUGGUUCCAUCUUGCAAAACUUUGGCGGUAUCAUGGCGUCACUACCAAUCACGUACCUGGGCCUCCCA